GAGUUUGAUCUUGGCUCAGAUUGAACGCUGGCGGCAGGCCUAACACAUGCAAGUCGAGCGGUAGAGAGAAGCUUGCUUCUCUUGAGAGCGGCGGACGGGUGAGUAAUGCCUAGGAAUCUGCCUGGUAGUGGGGGAUAACGUUCGGAAACGGACGCUAAUACCGCAUACGUCCUACGGGAGAAAGCAGGGGACCUUCGGGCCUUGCGCUAUCAGAUGAGCCUAGGUCGGAUUAGCUAGUUGGUGAGGUAAUGGCUCACCAAGGCGACGAUCCGUAACUGGUCUGAGAGGAUGAUCAGUCACACUGGAACUGAGACACGGUCCAGACUCCUACGGGAGGCAGCAGUGGGGAAUAUUGGACAAUGGGCGAAAGCCUGAUCCAGCCAUGCCGCGUGUGUGAAGAAGGUCUUCGGAUUGUAAAGCACUUUAAGUUGGGAGGAAGGGCAGUUACCUAAUACGUGAUUGUUUUGACGUUACCGACAGAAUAAGCACCGGCUAACUCUGUGCCAGCCGACCGG
rnacentral:rRNA from 1 species